rnacentral:RNase_P_RNA from 1 species
GCGGAGGGCUGGAUGGCCGCUUGCCGGGAUGACCCGGUGGGAGGAAAGUCCGGACUCCACAAGGCAACGGUGCCGGGUAACGCCCGGCGGGGGCAACCCCAGGGAAAGCGCCACAGAGAACAGACCGCCCAACACAGGCCGCUUCGGCAGCCCAUUUGGGUAAGGGUGAAACGGUGGGGUAAGAGCCCACCGCGGGACGGGCAACCGGACCGGCACGGCAAGCCCCACCGGGAGCAAUGCCAAAUAGGGAUCGCGCGCGGGACGGGUUGGGCAACCAAAACCGCCGCAAGCCGCCUUGGCCCAGCGAUCCGGGUUGGCAGCUGGAGAUGCGUCGGCAACGGCGGGUCUAGAUGAAUGGCCAUCCAGGGUGGGGCGACCUGCCUGGACAGAAUCCGGCUUACAGGCCCUCCGCGUGU